GGCAAGGUGGCCGAGCGGUCUAAGGCGCUGCUUUCAAGAUCACAUGAUCUUCCUGAAUAAGGGUUGACCAGCAGUGAGGAAACUCUCGCGUGUUCGAAUCACGUCCUUGUCA
rnacentral:tRNA from 1 species